rnacentral:lncRNA from 1 species
AUAGAUCUUUCAUGUUUUCAUUGCAAGGCUUGCCCAAGAAUCAAGUGAUACUUGAAAUUUUCAAAUUAAAAUAUUUACACCUCAUUAAAACAUUUUAUGAAUGCAGGGGAGGGGGAAAAAAUAAAAGAAAAAUAACCAGAGUUAGUAAGCAAGACUGCAAAAUGAGUAUGCAUGUCCUAUGGGAGAACCCUUUUAUGCUAAGGGUAGGCCUAGCAUGAAAAUGCAAUCCUCUGGGGUAGGCACCAUACAUUACCUGAUGAAUCCGAUCAACUGAUCGAGUGAAAAAAGAUGUUUUGAAAAAAUUUGGCCAAUUGAAAUGAGAAAAGGACAUCUGUCCAAAAGAUGAGAACAAAGUCCGAAUGGAUUGCUUGCUUUGAUCAACACAAAAUGAUGCGUAAAAG